rnacentral:tRNA from 3 species
GCGCGCGUCGCUCCACGGCCGGAGCACCGGUUCUUGCAGCCGGACGCCGGAGGUUCGACUCCUCCCGCGCGCA